CGCGGCCUAUCAGCUUGUUGGCGAGGUAACGGCUCACCAAGGCAACGACGGGUAGCUGGUCUGAGAGGAUGGCCAGCCACAUUGGGACCGAGAUACGGCCCAGACUCCUACGGGAGGCAGCAGUGGGGAAUCUUGCGCAAUGGCCUAACGGCUGACGCAGCGACGCCGCGUGUGGGAUGAAGCUCCUCGGAGUGUAAACCACUGUUGCCCGGGACGAAUAGCUCGAUUAAUCGAGCCUGACGGUACCGGGUGAGGAGGCACCGGCUAACUCCGUGCCAGCAGCCGCGGUAAUACGGGGGGUGCGAGCGUUGUCCGGAAUCACUGGGCGUAAAGGGCGCGUAGGUGGUUUGAUAAGGGUGUGGUGAAAGUCCGGGGCUCAACCCCGGAUCUGCCGUGCCGACUGUCAAACUCGAGGGCUGUAGAGGCAGACGGAAUUCCGGGUGUAGCGGUGGAAUGCGUAGAGAUCCGGAGGAGGACCGGUGGCGAAGGCGGUCUGCUGGGCAGUUUCUGACACUGAUGCGCGACAGCGUGGGGAGCAAACAGGAUUAGAUACCCUGGUAGUCCACGCCGUAAACGAUGGGUACUAGGUGCCUGGGGGAGCGACCCUCUGGGUGCCGGCGCUAACGCAGGAAGUACCCCGCCUGGGGAGUACG
rnacentral:rRNA from 1 species